rnacentral:rRNA from 1 species
UACGGGGGGAGCAAGCGUUGUUCGGAUUUACUGGGUGUAAAGGGCGCGUAGGCGGCCACCGCAAGUCGACUGUGAAAUCUCCGGGCUUAACUCGGAAAGGUCAGCCGAUACUGCGGGGCUAGAGUGCAGAAGGGGCAACUGGAAUUCUCGGUGUAGCGGUGAAAUGCGUAGAUAUCGAGAGGAACACCUGCGGCGAAGGCGGGUUGCUGGGCUGACACUGACGCUGAUUGUGCGAAAGCUAGGGGAGCGAACGGG